rnacentral:snRNA from 1 species
AUACUUACCUGGCAGUGGCGAUUCCAUGAUCAUGAAGGUGGUUUUCCCAGGGCAAGGCUUAUCCAUUGCACUCCGGAUGUGCUGACCCCUGCAAUUUCCUCAAGUGUGGGAAACUUGACUGCAUAAUUUGUGGUAGUGGGGGACUGCGUUCACACUCUCUCCUG